AUUACUUUCAGAGCAACCCAGUUCUUGGUCUAAAGAGGCUGCACUGAAACACUGCUGUCCUACUGCUGUAUACCUGGCUCACCCUGAGUUGGCCGAUGUCUCCAAGAAUGAGAGUGCUUGGGUCUUGCAUUAGCACUGGAACGGCUGCAUGGUCCAUCCUCCUCUGAGCAGUGCCCCUGAGACCCCAUAGGAGUGUAUCGAGGGCAUCUUUUUGGUAGAUCUGUGGGGAAUACACCACAGGAAUGUCCUACUGCUCAUGCUUGCUCUCUGCAUGCAAGGCUCAGGUGGAGACUGUAACUUCCUGCCGGGAAGGCCCAGGGCAGGCUUAUGGCAGCAAACUUCUG